GACGAACGCUGGCGGCGUGCUUAACACAUGCAAGUCGAACGAAGUGGCGAACGGGUGAGUAACGCGUAAUCAACCUGCCCUUCAGAGGGGAACACCAGUUGGAAACGACUGCUAAUACCACAUACUGAAGGACGGGAUUGCGUGUGAUUUGCUAGUUGGAGGGGUAACGGCCCACUAAGGCGAUGAUCAGUAGCCGGUCUGGGAGGAUGAACGGCCCAAAUGGGACUGAGACACGGCCCAGACUCCUACGGGAGGCAGCAGGGGGGAAUCUUCCGAAAUGGAGGAAAGGCUGACGGAGCAACGCCGCGUGAGUGAUGACGGCCUUCGGGUUGUAAAGCUCUGUUAAUCGGGACGCGGUACCGGAAUAGAAAGCCACGGCUAACUACGUGCCAGCAGCCGCGGUAAUAC
rnacentral:rRNA from 1 species